rnacentral:lncRNA from 1 species
AGGAUUGGGAAUACAAGUUCAUGAGCAAGUAUGUUAAGGUGGGAACUAUCAAGAAGGCUGUUGGAGAAUCAGAAGGAGCCGGAGCCUCCACAGCUGAACCUGCAGAAUCUAUUGAACGUGAAGCUGCUAAACCUGCUGAAGAUGUUCCAUCCGAAAGCAAAACAAUUGAAACUGUGGAGGCUCCUGCAGGUGACAAUGUUGACAAGGAGUAGUUGUUGGAAGACCCAAGUGC